rnacentral:rRNA from 1 species
UACGAAGGGUGCAAGCGUUACUCGGAAUUACUGGGCGUAAAGCGUGCGUAGGUGGUUUGUUAAGUCUGAUGUGAAAGCCCUGGGCUCAACCUGGGAAUUGCAUUGGAUACUGGCAGGCUAGAGUGCGGUAGAGGGUAGUGGAAUUCCCGGUGUAGCAGUGAAAUGCGUAGAUAUCGGGAGGAACAUCAGUGGCGGAGGCGGCUCUCUGGACCAAAACUGACACUGAGGCGCGACAGCGUGGGGAUCAAACAGG